UUGAACGCUGGCGGCAGGCCUAACACAUGCAAGUCGAACGGUAACAGGAAGAAGCUUGCUUCUUUGCUGACGAGUGGCGGACGGGUUAGUAAUGUCUGGGAAACUGCCUGAUGGAGGGGGAUAACUACUGGAAACGGUAGCUAAUACCGCAUAACGUCGCAAGACCAAAGAGGGGGACCUUCGGGCCUCUUGCCAUCGGAUGUGCCCAGAUGGGAUUAGCUAGUAGGUGGGGUAACGGCUCACCUAGGCGACGAUCCCUAGCUGGUCUGAGAGGAUGACCAGCCACACUGGAACUGAGACACGGUCCAGACUCCUACGGGAGGCAGCAGUGGGGAAUAUUGCACAAUGGGCGCAAGCCUGAUGCAGCCAUGCCGCGUGUAUGAAGAAGGCCUUCGGGUUGUAAAGUACUUUCAGCGGGGAGGAAGGGAGUAAAGUUAAUACCUUUGCUCAUUGACGUUACCCGCAGAAGAAGCACCGGCUAACUCCGUG
rnacentral:rRNA from 1 species